CCUACAUGAUUUGUUCAAUCAUAAUUCUCAUCGAAACAAGUCUGCCAUUGCAACCGGCAUGGAAAAUAAAAUGCCAUACAUUAUUCCUUCUCUGCAACUUACAUUAGAAUUUAGCAUUUCACCAACUAAAGAAAGUAUUUGCUAAACCAUGGGCCUUCAAAAUAUGGUAAUCUUUCAGGGAAAAAUGGUUUUCGCAUUUCCCAAGGAUCUUUCAUAGUCUGUGAGAAAGAGUUCCAAAUUUUUCAAUAAAAAUUAACUGUCCAUGAUGAAGAGGGUUCAUAUAUAGAUAAGACUUCUCAGCUCAUCUUGUCUUCUCGUGCGAAAGCCCAGUAUUCUCUACUUGUAAGGGAAUCACAUCAUAAAUUGUUUCACAUUGAUUUAAGAUCAAUCAUCUCUGACCUCAAAAGACUUUUCUUUGUUCAUGCAGAACCCUUCGUUAAU
rnacentral:misc_RNA from 1 species